rnacentral:tRNA from 1 species
AUUCAAAUAGCUUAAAUCAUAGAGUAUAACAUUGAAGAUGUUAGGGUAAUUAUAUAAUUUUUGAAUG